AUGUCUGCAGUGCGGGGGCGAGCAGAGCAUUCAGCGACCUUCCGAUGCACCUACAGCUCCAACACCUCCUAUGUUUACGUGGCCUGGUAUCGGCAGCGUGCCGGUAUGCCCCUGCAAUACAUCCUCCAGAGGAAGGGCCGGGGGGGUUCAUACAGCCACACAGCCCCUUUUGCCCGCAAGAGGUUUUCCAGCCAGGCCGAUGAGAGCUCCGGCACCUUGAGCAUCGCCGCGCUGGACCUGGCUGACAGCGAGCUCUAUUACUGCGCCCUGCAGGGACCACGAUGA